UAUUCAUUGUCUUCUACAGUAGAGCGGGACAUUUAAUUUACUCUCAGCGGAAUUGACCGGAGAAGGCAUCAGUUCAUGCACUGCACUGGCCCGCACCACGAUUAGUAUAAGGCACAUUUCACGAAGCAGAACGCAGUCUUCAGAGAUAUCCACGUGAACGCUGUGAUACGUCUGACCUUCAGUCCGAAGAAGAAACCCAGACCAGUCUUAAAAGAAAGCACAAACCAAAUCCCCUGUACACAUAUACGGACUCAGAGGAUGAGCAGCCUACAAAAAAACGGUUUCCCCAGGCCCCUCGAGUGAAAAUACCAGCCCUCAUCACUCCGCAGUCUGCCCCCCAGCCCACUGAUAGCAACCAUCAUAAUGCCCCACCCAGCUUCCGGCACCUUUCGCCACUCCGGCACAAACCGACACAGCUUUGCGAUCUCCCCAGCAUGCAGAGUCUGAUGUCUUCCCUAUAGAUGAUUCCAGAGACUCUGUGAAGCCACUAUUACAAGGUGAGACGCUUUGCGUUGAUUGGUGCUGCUGGACCACACUGGAGGUGCGAGUCUGCUGUGUAAUGGUUUAUGCCAUUACAAAGGAGCUGGCGUCUGUACUCAACUGGGCAGGGAAAAAAUACCAAGGACCAGACAAAGCAAAAAAAGGGCAUUUAAAGAGACAGCGCUGUGCAGAUGCAUAUUUGAUGGCCUGGCGCAGCAGGUAGGGGCGAACUCUAUGUCUGAGUUGGUCUUUGCUCAAGCAGUCCAGAAAUGGCUCAGAUAUGCUCCAGGUCGUACGGGUGGCGCGCAGGACGCACAUCAUCCAUCCCCAUCCCGGAGUAAAUAAUAAAAAGUGACGUGAAACAUAGAAAUGUAAAUAGGAAACUUUGUCUUUUAAUAAAGUAUUUUGCAAAUGAUACAUGUCUAUUGACCUUUUUUGGUUUUUUGUUUUUUUCAAUAAAAAGCAACUGUGCGAAAGAGGUGGAAAAUCAAUACCAUAUCUCAACAGUGUUUCAAUAUCAGAAUCUGACAUUGUUUCA